ACUGAAACAAGUCCAGCUAAAUUAUUCAAAAAUCUCUAAAUGCCAAUUCCAUUUAAUUUUAAAUAACAAGCAUCCCUGAGAGGGAUGAUUUUUCGGAACGAUGACUAAGGGAAAAUAUUUUUCCAGCAGGGUUUCUGCACAGGAAAAAAUUCAUUGCUUCCAUCCCCACAUCCCACACCCCACAUUUCCACACCCCUUGGUGUAAAAAUAUUUGUAUUUAAAUAAUUUUAAAUGUCAUGCAUUUAUAAUUAAAAGCAAUUCUGUGCUCAGAGAAACAGAAAUUACUGACUUUAAAUCAAUGAGAAAAACUAAAUUUUCCUUUGAGGAAAAUUAAAAGGUAAGAUUAAAAGGUAAUGUAGAUCAAGCUAAUGUGAUAUAAGCCUGUUGGUUGCAUAUGGUCUCUGAUGUGACCACUGAUAUAACUGCCCACCUCCAGCAGCAGGAGCAUAUAGGAGAUUCCAGCAAGAAUUCUUCAUUUCUCCCAAAGGGUCUCUUCUGUCUCCUUUCUCCUUCCCACCUUUAAGUACUCAAGGACUGGAUUUGCAAAAAAUGUUUUCUUUUCCUUCAAAACCACACUCACCUACCCCAUAACUUUGAUUGAUGAAAUCAUUCUAAUUGGACAGCUCCUGAUGCCUGCUCCACAUCCCUCUGUAACACAGCAGCCUCUCUCCCUGCUCUCCACCCUACCCAAGGAACUGCAUUCCCUCAGCCACCGCGCUUGGUUCACCAGGGCAUGGACUGGAAGAUGAGCCCAUCAAGGCCUUUACCAAGGAAGAUAGGGAAGGGUGGAUUCCUGAUAACUUUGGGGCUCUCUCUAGAUUACACUCUGCCUGUGGUGGUGAACUUUCUAUGUCAACUUGCCUAGGGUAUGGUGCCUAGUUGUUUUGUCAAAUGCCAGUGUAGACAUUUAUGUGAAGGUUAUUUUUUAGAUGUGAUUAACAUUUAAACCAGUAGACUUGUGGUAAAGGACAUUAUCCUCCAUAAUAUGAGUGCACCUUAUCCAGUCAGUUGAAAGCCUUAAUAACAAAGACAGGUUUCCCGGGAAGGAAUUCUCAGGACCACAGCAUGUAAACACUGCUUGAGUUCCCAGCCUGCUACCAUGUAGAAUUUGAAUUAAGAUGACAGCAUCAACUCUUACCUCAUUUUCCAGCCUGCCAGCCUGACCUACAAGUUAUCCAAACAAUCACAUGAGCAAAUUCCUUAAAGAAAUCUCCUCUCUCUCUGUGUCUCUCCCCUCCUCUCCCUCAUCCCUUUCCCCACCUUCUCUUUCCCCUAUUAAUUCUGUUUGUCUGGAGAAUCCUGACUAAUACACUACCUAAGUCAUAUUUUAAUGCUCAAAAAGCACAGGAUUUUAUGUGUGUAUUUGUUUAAGCCAACUUGAGUUGUGUUUCCAUCACCUGUAACUAAGAGUCUGGAACAUUCCUGGGUGUAAAUGAACACAAUGUCCUAUAGAUUUAUGGUCGAAAGAUUCUUCCAGAAUUCUGCCUUAUUAGUUACUAUACAAUAAACUACUUACUGGUUGGAAUUGUGUGAUGUUUUGUUCCACUGCCGUUGCUUAGAAUUCUUGGUACAUAGUCAGGUUAAUAAAUAAGGAUCCGGCAUCGCCAUGAGCUGUGGUGUGGGUCGCACACGCAGCUUGGAUCCCGAGUUGCUGUGGCUCUGGUGUAGGCCGGCGGCUACAGCUCCAAUUCGACCCCUAGCCUGGGAACCUCCAUAUGCCACGGGAGCGGCCCUAGAU
ensembl:lncRNA